CAAAAGUAUUCUUCGAUAAUUGCUGGGUCAUAUCAAGAUACCGCCAUACUAAAAUCCUCCUGUGACCAAACUGGAUAGAUCUGGAGUUGGAAGAGUGUCUUCUCAAUUGCACACACGUGUGCACAUGCACUCGCGUGCCCACACACCCACUACAGAACAGUGAAGGCGAAGAAAAUAAAACCAAGGGAAGCCAAAAAGAAGGAAGAGUUUCAAUCAUCCUUGACAAAAGCCUGAGUGAAGAUCUUUAAAGCUCUUUGGAACAGCAGUAGCUAUCUCAAAACUCCAUUGAUAUUGAAAAAUAGGCUAAUGGGGAGUUGGCACGAAGUCUUGAAAAUAACUACUCCAAAGUUCAACUUUUUAUUAAAAAUACUUCUAAAGUUCAAAUCUAAAAAGCCAGAGUUCCCAGAAAACACACCAUCAUUGUGAUUUCUCAGGAUUGUAAAAUCCGUUAAAUUAAGGAGGGUCAAAAUUAAUUGAGAUUUUAAAAUAAAAUAGAUUUUAAAGCA